rnacentral:rRNA from 1 species
CCCUUAGAUGUUCUGGGCCGCACACGCGCUACACUGAAGGAGGCAGCGUGUACUCCUGGAUCGAAAGAUUUGGGUAACCCGCGAAUCUCCUUCGUGCUAGGGAUUGAGGUUUGCAAUUAUCCUUCAUGAACGAGGAAUUCCCAGUAAGUGCAAGUCAUAAGCUUGCGCUGACUACGUCCCUGCCCUUUGUACACACCGCCCGGCGCUACUACCGAUUGAAUGAUUUAGUGAGGACUUCGGACUGGGACCGAUGCGGCUUUCGGGCUGCGUCGGUAUUCUGGAAAGAUGUCCAAACUGUAUCAUUUAGAGGAAGUAAAAGUCGUANCA